CAACACUGCAGGACUCAGAUGUGCCAGUCAACACAGCAGAAAGCACAAGCACCAUGACUCUCAUCACCAUCCUCAUGUGGACGCUGGCCUGCUGCUGUUUCACAGGAUGCAGCGCUCAGGUGACUGUGACUCAGCCUCCAGUGGUGACAUUUACUCCAGGAUCCACUGUCACUCUCACCUGUAAGACCAGCCAAGCUGUUGGAACUUGUAGUGGUGCUGAUUGUAUGUACUGGUACCAACAGAAAUCUGGACAGCCUCCAAAGCUCCUAAUAAAAUUUGUGAGCACACGUGUAUCAGGAACACCAGCUCGGUUUAGUGGCAGUGGAAGCAGCUCUGACUUCACUUUGACCAUCAGUGGAGUUCAGACUGAAGAUGCAGCAGUUUAUUACUGUAAGAGUGUUCAUGGUGGCCCAGUGUUCACACAGUGA